GGGCCCUUGUGAUGUCUAGCACUGGGCUCUGAUUCCUUCUGAGGACUCUGUGCCCCCUGGGACUCUGACACCCAGGGAGUCUGAGGGGCCU
rnacentral:snoRNA from 1 species